GCCGGAGCAACUGAAAGUUCGGCUUUCCUGUGCGGCGGGGUCUGGAAACCCCAGCCUUCCGCAGGGGCUUUCCGGGUGAGGAAGCGUGCAAAGCGGAGGAGGGAUGUCCUCCGAAGCCUGCCCUGCCGGGUACCGCAGGGCACGCCAUCCGCCGUGACGUGCCCCGGUGCAAAAACGCCCAGGUUUGGAGCCUCGAGUUUUGUCCGUGUUUUUUAGAAAGUCACGACGGCUCCUUCUCUGCACCAUCUAGCGCAACCCGCUCUUAUCUUUCGACUCGGCCUUUUCUCAGCCCGUGUGUAUUUAAGCGCGUUACGGCAGCGCAGGAAGCCUUCGCGGGAAGCUGCGGCACUUCCGAACCUGCUUAUAACCACCACAGAUAAAAUUCGAGCAGGAGCAAAGAGCGAGACGACCCUGAACCACAACUGAACUACUUCCUGCCAUGACGCCGCUUGCACGUCGCCUAGUUUUUAACCCAGGUCCCAGAGCAGAGAGUUUUAAAGCUGGGUACUCGAGAAACGCACCGUAAGCAAGCUGUUUGCUUGGGAAAGCUUUCCGAUCCUUUCGAGGGCUAGAAAUAGGUUUCUCUGCUCAGUAGUUUUGGUACCUUGAAGUUGGGCGUGACGUGCCUGAACUCUCCAGCGAAGCCGGUUGACGCAGCUAGUAACUAGUGCGCGUUAUUUCUGGUUGAUGUCGGUCAUGCUCUGGUCCUAAUCAAUUAAUGUUUGCAAUUUCCCAGGUUGGGAGAUGUCCACCCGUAUGAGGGUUGAAGAAAGAAUUGGGACAGAUUGCCCUGGGCGGCUUGAUUCUUUUUCUUUCUUUUUUUUUUAUUGAAUCGGUGUGGAAAGGACCGGUAACCUUUGGAGCGCCAUGCAAGGACACGUCUUCAAAACAGUUGCACUGGAGUCUUAGCCAUUCCUGUUAAGACAGAGAUCGGUGUUGGCGUAACAAGCCUUUUUGCGUGCGUGCCGAUGUGAAUUCCGGCGUGCACAGCUAUUGCAAACGCUGCGUCUUUAUUAGCAGGUGACUUUGGGUGAGAUGCUCCUCCUGCAACCGGCCACGCUCGAGGAAACGAAGACCGGCUCUGCCAUCUACUAGCAGCUGCCGCG
rnacentral:lncRNA from 1 species